rnacentral:rRNA from 1 species
UACGGAGGGUGCGAGCGUUGUCCGGAAUCACUGGGCGUAAGGGGCGCGUAGGUGGCUCGUGAAGCGUGCGGUGAAAGUCCGAGGCUCAACCUCGGAUCGGCCGUGCGGACUCGCGGGCUGGAGCGUGUAGAGGCGGGUGGAAUUCCGGGUGUAGCGGUGGAAUGCGUAGAGAUCCGGAAGAACACCGGUGGCGAAGGCGGCCCGCUGGGCAACUAUUGACGCUGAGGCACGGAAAGCGUGGGGAUCAAAACCAGGG